AAUGAACGCUGGCGGCGUGGUUUAGGCAUGCAAGUCGCACGGGCAGUAGCAAUAUUGCUAGUGGCGACCUGGUCAGUACAAGUUGGGUUACGUGCCUGGAAGUGGGGGAUAACUCCGAGAAAUCGGGGCUAAUACCGCAUGUGGAGGAAACUCCAAAGCAGCAAUGCGCUUCCGGAUCGGCCCGACUCCCAUUAGCUAGUUGGCGAGGUAAAGGCUCACCAAGGCUACGAUGGGUAGGUGGUGUGAGAGCAUGGACGCCGACACGAGGACUGAGAUACGGCCUCGACUCCUACGGGGGGCAGCAGUCUAGAAGCUUCGACAAUGGGCGAAAGCCUGAUCGAGCGACGCCGCGUGGGUGAUGAAGGCCUUCGGGUCGUAAAGCCCUGUCGCAGGGGAAGAAUAAGCAUCGGUAUAAUACGCCGGUGCCCUGACGGUACCCUGCAAGAAAGACACCGGCUAACUCCGUGCCAGCAGCCGCGGUAA
rnacentral:rRNA from 1 species